UAGAUUUUUUACAAGAGAAUAGGAGCAAGAAAAGAGGUACUAUGUCUAUGGAAGUACAUCUAUGCGUGUGUAGAUUUUUUACAAGAGAAUCAGACGGGAGCAGGAAAAGAGGUACUAUGUCUAUGAAAGUGCAUAUAAGCGUGUGUAGAUUUUUUACAAGAGAAUCAGACGGGAGCAAGAAAAGAGGUACUAUGUCUAUGGAAGUACAUAUAUGCGUGUGUAGAUUUUUUACAAGAGAAUCAGACGAGAGCAAGAAAAGAGGUACUAUGUCUAUCAAAGUACAUAUAAUUAAGCGGGUGUAGAUUUUUUACAAGAGAAUCAGACAGGAUGCAAGUACGACAAUAAAGUGCCAUUUAUACAAUCAAUGUGGUUUUAUGAUUGUAAUAA